AGGAGAGGGUGUUAACUGUACCCAGGUAGGCUACAGGGAUCCAGCCCCAGUCUUCCUCCCUACACUAGUCUGGCAGAGUGACAGGUGGGAGGGGUAGGUGAGAAGGAGAGGGUGUUAACAGUUCCCAGGUAGGCUACAGGGAUCCAGCCCCAGUCUUCCUCCCUACACUAGUCUGGCAGAGUGACAGGUGGGAGGGGUAGGUGAGAAGGAGAGGGUGUUAACAGUUCCCAGGUAGGCUACAGGGAUCCAGCCCCAGUCUUCCUCCCUACACUAGUCUGGCAGAGUGACAGGUGGGAGGGGUAGGUGAGAAGGAGAGGGUGUUAACUGUACCCAGGUAGGCUACAGGGAUCCAGCCCCAGUCUUCCUCCCUACACUAGUCUGGCAGAGUGACAGGUGGGAGGGGUAGGUGAGAAGGAGAGGGUGUUAACUGUACCCAGGUAGGCUACAGGGAUCCAGCCCCAGUCUUCCUCCCUACACUAGUCUGGCAGAGUGACAGGUGGGAGGGGUAGGUGAGAAGGAGAGGGUGUUAACUGUACCCAGGUAGGCUACAGGGAUCCAGCCCCAGUCUUCCUCCCUACACUAGUCUGGCAGAGUGACAGGUGGGAGGGGUAGGUGAGAAGGAGAGGGUGUUAACUGUACCCAGGUAGGCUACAGGGAUCCAGCCCCAGUCUUCCUCCCUACACUAGUCUGGCAGAGUGACAGGUGGGAGGGGUAGGUGAGAAGGAGAGGGUGUUAACUGUACCCAGGUAGGCUACAGGGAUCCAGCCCCAGUCUUCCUCCCUACACUAGUCUGGCAGAGUGACAGGUGGGAGGGGUAGGUGAGAAGGAGAGGGUGUUAACUGUACCCAGGUAGGCUACAGGGAUCCAGCCCCAGUCUUCCUCCCUACACUAGUCUGGCAGAGUGACAGGUGGGAGGGGUAGGUGAGAAGGAGAGGGUGUUAACUGUACCCAGGUAGGCUACAGGGAUCCAGCCCCAGUCUUCCUCCCUACACUAGUCUGGCAGAGUGACAGGUGGGAGGGGUAGGUGAGAAGGAGAGGGUGUUAACUGUACCCAGGUAGGCUACAGGGAUCCAGCCCCAGUCUUCACGUUUUCACUUCUAGUCACGUCACGUUUUCACUUCUAUGUUCUCCUUUAGAACGUGUUUGUCAUGGUCCAUCUCAGGCAGAUCCUGUACUACGGUUCCAUUCAGUUCUCGGUUCCAGAGGAGCAGGAGGCUGGGGUCCGGGUCGGGUCCAUGGGG